UCGAGGAUCUUCGGCAAUGGGCGCAAGCCUGACCGAGCGACGCCGCGUGAGCGAUGAAGGCCUUCGGGUCGUAAAGCUCUGUCGUGGGGGAGAAAAGGGUUAAACCUUGAUCGACCCCAGGAGGAAGCACGGGCUAAGUUCGUGCCAGCAGCCGCGGUAAGACGAACCGUGCGAACGUUAUUCGGAAUCACUGGGCUUAAAGGGCGCGUAGGCGGGCUCGUUAGUCAGGGGUGAAAUCCCACGGCCCAACCGUGGAAGUGCCUCUGAUACUGCGAGUCUCGAGGGGGAUAGGGGCGUGCGGAACUCAGGGUGGAGCGGUGAAAUGCGUAGAUAUCCUGAGGAACACCGGUGGCGAAAGCGGCGCGCUGGAUCCCUUCUGACGCUGAGGCGCGAAAGCCAGGGGAGCAAACG
rnacentral:rRNA from 1 species